CUGACUCAGCUAGUUGAGCAGGCCUCUAGCCCUGGGACGGGGUUUUGACAGGUCCUGACCUGGGGGACGGGCUCUGGAGGGACUGCGGCCUCUGACCUAGGGAUGGAGGUAUCCGCAUGCUCUGGCCUAGGCUGGGGGGUCUGCAGGCCCUGACUCAGGUAGUCUAGUCUGCAAGGGCUGUCCAAGGUCUGGCCAUGACGUGCCCUCCCACAGGCCUGUAUGGCCCCGAAGGCAUCCUACCUGCAAGGAGGACGCUGCGGCCUCAGGGCAAGGGGCGCUGGCAGCAGCUGUGGGAGACCCCGACGCUGCUGUGGGAAGCGCCGAGACUGGGGCUGGACACGGCCCAGGGCCUGGAGCUGCUGAGCCUGCUGGGCGCACUACUGGCCCUGGGGGCCCUGCUGCUGAGCCCACUGCGCCACCCCGUCAUCUACCUGCUGCUUUGGGCCGCCUACCUGUCGGCCUGCCAGGUGGGCCAGGUGUUCCUGUAUUUCCAGUGGGACUCUCUGCUGCUAGAGACUGGCUUCCUGGCCGUGCUGGUGGCCCCGCUGAGGCCAGCCUCCCACCGCAAGGAGGCCCCCCAGGGCAGGCAGGCAGGGGCCCUGC
rnacentral:sRNA from 1 species